GAGUGCGGCCCUCAGCCUGUCACCCACCUGUUCCCUGGCCUGGCGGCAUGACUCAUCCCUGAGGCCCAGCCCCCGUGAGCCUCCUGAUCCUCCUCCGCAGGAUGUGAUCUUCCUAUCUCCCAGUUCCCAGGCUGGGAGGGCAACCCCCGGGCCUCUUCAUCUCACUGGGCAAGGAACAAAUGAGCUAUUUUUUAGUGGGAAUCAGUUUCUGGAGGUCUAAAUCAGUCUUGGGAGUAGAUUCUUACUCCUCUGUUCUUGGAGACAAAACAAUGUGAUGAGUUUUAGUCAUGUCAUUGCUUCAGACUAAGAAAAUCUGCAGUUGGCAAUGGUGAGAGAACUCUCUCCUCCUUGCAGCAGCAAGCCUUCCUGUCCAGGGCUUUGCUGAAGUCACUGACCCCAGGAAGUGGCCUGUUCUUCCGUGAAGCAGGAGCCUCCAUUCUUCUCUCGGAGUUUCUUAGUUUACAAACUAGAACCAAUGGGAUUUGCCCUGGAAACCCAGUCUGGGUAACCAGCCAAGUCUGGGCCGGCACAGAGGAAACCAGCGCUCUUCCUGUGCACCUGUAAUUAGCAGGUGUGGAACUUGGGCUGUCCAAAAAGGAAACAGUGCAGGCCUGGGGCGUGCUGAUGCACAGGGACAGUGGGAGAUAAAAGGAAAACACAAGAGUGAAGAAGCCGUUCUUCAGUGUGUAUAAAAGCUCUCUCUCUCCAGAAAAGGCAAACGAGCAUUCAAGAGAAAGGCUUAAGUAGGUAGUUCAGAGGAAGGAAUGUGAAGAAUAAUGAAUAUUCUUGCCAUGAUAGCACACAAGUUGGUUUACACAGAUUAUUUCCUAGGAGGUGGGUAAGGCUUAUGGGACAGGCCCAGCAUGAAGCUCCAUCCUGUGUGCUGCAAGGAGUUGAGGAAAAUAAGAUUUAAAUUGUAUUUCAAAGUCCAAGAACACAACAUUUACAGAUCAUGAGGCUCUGUGUAAUAGCCUACCAUCUUUGCAGAGUCGUAUCAACGCCAUGGCCUCAGCUUACUGUGCUGGCCUCAGGGAGGAAUAAGAAAGGCCACCAUCAUGAACUUGCCCCCAGGGAGGAAAGGGCCAGUGGGCAGAUUGCAAAUUUCAUUCAUCUCAGUGGCUUUCACUUGCCAUCCUUGGACCUUUCUCUGAGAGCAGGACAUCCUUGUGGCAUGGUUCCCUAUUCAAAAUUGGUGCCCAGACAAAAUGCAACACAGUAGCAACAAGCAAACCUCUGUGGGUGGUGGAGGAAUGGUUCUUCAAUGGCUGCCUUGGUUAUAUCCAUGACCUUCCCACACGACCAGUAAGCCACACAAAGCCUUCUCCAGGAACCACUUAUCUUAGGAGUAAUUUUCAAAAUUUGGAGCUUAUAGGAGUUGCUCCUGAAAGUAUCAGGUGACAAGGCAGGCAGAAGAGAGGUUAGUGAAAGGGGUGUGUGCUUAAGGGUUGGGAGGAAGAUUCAGUCCCCGGUUCCCCAUGUCAUCUCUGGGAUCUGGACUGGACAUAGUCUUUUGGAGCCUUCUAGCCUCAGCCUGACCCCGGGUAGUGAUACCAACCGGAAGGACUUGGGUGAGGGAGAAGUGGAAACGAGAAGGAUUCACACUGCAAUUUCUUGGUGUCCUUCCCACAUUGAUUAUGUGCAAGUAUCAGAAUGUUAGGGGGAAAAUACAUAUCAGGCAGGGAAUUGCACUAAUAAAUCUCCUAA
rnacentral:lncRNA from 1 species